rnacentral:rRNA from 1 species
UACGGAGGGUGCAAGCGUUAAUCGGAAUAACUGGGCGUAAAGGGUGCGUAGGUUGUUUUUUAAGCUAGCUGUGAAAUACCUGGGCUUAACCUGGGGCGGUCAGCUAAGACUGGAAGACUGGAGUAUGGGAGAGGGUAGUGGAAUUUCCGGUGUAGCGGUGAAAUGCGUAGAGAUCGGAAGGAACACCAGUUGCGAAGGCGGCUACCUGGCCUAAUACUGACACUGAGGCACGAAAGCGUGGGGAGCAAACAGG